rnacentral:lncRNA from 1 species
UGCGGGAGGUGGGGGAGAGGAGCUCGUUUUCACCUAGGGAAGACGAAUGACAGCCAUAGAAGAAGAGGCAUCAUCCUGUCUCUAAAUGGCAGGAGGACUUUGUAUAAGCCUUCCAGACAAUGGAAGCCAUGUGGGCGAAGACUCAGGAGCCGACCUCUGUCAUAGCAGCCUUUCAAACAUGAUGUAGAAGCGAUAUUCAUCUUACUGGGCCCGUAGACAUGAGAAGGAACCACGUACCAUCCAAAGGCCCGGGGAAGAAAUUACAGGUAAAGAACAAGCCCAAGCUGAUAAAUUCGUCAGAAAGUAUAUCCUAAAGUGAACCAUUCAUCUCACCUGCUAUGCAAGACUUCAACUGUGAUGGUGACACAGAUGGAAAAUGGACUGGAGCUUUACUGACAGUCAGUGGUUCUAGGUCAGCCUCGGUAUGCAGGAUUCACAAAGUGAAGUUGGAGAAGGAGAACUGAAGUCUAAGAACUUGCAGGUGAACAGGGAAAAUUACAUUUGAAAGGAAGCGAAACCACACAAGCCCUAGAUGCACCAUUGGUAAAUUCCUCAACUUCCAAAGAAGGAUUUCACUGUGUGGACUCUUGUGGAUGGAACAGAG